GGGGUCAGCUCUGGGGUUGGUGGUUCUAUUGGGAUACAGCCAGGGAUGCUCUAGGAGGUUCCAAAACUUUCCAAGAAUGAGGUGGUCAUGUCAGCAUCCCUGCUCUGAUCCAGAGGUAGAGACGAGCUCAGGAUGAGAGGAGGGAUGAUAGCGGCUGCAGCAUCAGACAGGCAUCAGCACACUGCACACAAACCAGAAGGGAAACGUGGUGGAGUAAAGCAGGCAACACGAUGCAAACCUGCUUGAACUACUUUGGACUGACUGAGCUUUCCAACAUCCUGCUUGAGGUUCUAGAUGCUAGGAUCUGAAACAAAGGUGCAUGCCCCUUUUUUUUCUUUUUUCCCCCCUGCACUGUUGCCCAGCAUUGCCUUUGCCUUGCUGCCAGCCAGGGACCCAUUGGAGCAUGCAGGGUGCAGAGCUGCUGGCACUUGGCUGCAGGCACGGCCAGGCUCAGGCUGGUGCUGGGCAGAUGGCAAGCAGGCCAGGCUGCAUGCUGCAAAUGGCCCCUAAGAAAGCUUUCGUUUUGCUGCCCAGAGCUCCUCUUUCAGGCUUGGUGUUUCCAGGGCAUCAGUGAUUCCCCACAAGCAGAAGCAGCCCUGGGGGUGAUGGGGAUGACUGGCACUCUGGGGAGCCUCAGUAUGGUUGGUGGUACCCUGUCCUGGUCUGGAUAGGUGUGGGCAGCCAAGAUCUUGGAAGAGAUGGGAUUGAGCUUUGAAGUUUUCAGUGAUGAGCAAACCUGAUUAAGUCCUUGUGUCACACAAAGCAUGAAAAUAAAGGAGAAGAGAGAACCAAGUGGGACAGAAACCAGGUAGAAAGGUGGUGAUGGAGGAGGCAGAGUGCAGGAAGGAGGGAGAAACACAAUCCACCCAAGUGGGUACAUAAUUUAUUUGCCUAUUAGCUAUUAAUAAGCUGGCCUUUUGUAUCAAGUCUCCCGACGUUCUUGUAACAACUUCAGGCCUUUCUGCAGAGCAUCACCCUUUCUGGGUGUUCCUGUGCCACUUGCCAUGCUAACAUGAUUCUUGAUAUGUCCCUCGCCCGGCGCCGUGCCUUCGUUACCACCAUUCAGCUGAACAAGUAAUUAAUGUGAUUCCCCCACUACUGCGCUGUAACUGUAACCUCUGGGAAAUACCCAUGAGGUGGGGAUACCUCCUAGGGGCACCAGGCAUGCCUUGCUUUGGGUGGUGCCUGAAUGAUGAGGGAGGUCUUUGGGUCUGCCUGGUGGAAGAAGAGUGGCCAAGCUGAUGACUUGGGUGAGCAAUGGACCUUCCCUUCCACGUCUUACCACCCAUGGUCGCUGCAGGACUGGGGGGGUGAUACCUGAUACCAAGGUGCACAUCAGCUGAAUGCAGCAAGGAGAGGUGGAGAAGACCCAUCCAUCAUCUUAGCAAACUCAUGGCUGUCCUGCUGAGGAUCCAGCGUGUGCCUUCUUCCCAUCCUCCUCACCACGCUGAAGAUGGACAAAGAGACAAACGUAACCCAUCCCAUGGAUUCCAGGGAGUGAAAUGCACUUGGAGGCGUAGUCAUUGGGUAGUGACCAAGAUGCCGUGCAGUAG